GCACAAGCGGUGGAGCAUGUGGCUUAAUUCGAUGCAACGCGAAGAACCUUACCUGGUCUUGACAUCCACGGAAGUUUUCAGAGAUGAGAAUGUGCCUUCGGGAACCGUGAGACAGGUGCUGCAUGGCUGUCGUCAGCUCGUGUUGUGAAAUGUUGGGUUAAGUCCCGCAGCGAGCGCAACCCUUAUCCUUUGUUGCCAGCGGUCCGGCCGGGAACUCAAAGGAGACUGCCAGUGAUAAACUGGAGGAAGGUGGGGAUGACGUCAAGUCAUCAUGGCCCUUACGACCAGGGCUACACACGUGCUACAAUGGCGCAUACAAAGAGAAGCGACCUCGCGAGAGCAAGCGAACCUCAUAAAGUGCGUCGUAGUCCGGAUUGGAGUCUGCAACUCGACUCCAUGAAGUCGGAAUCGCUAGUAAUCGUGGAUCAGAAUGCCACGGUGAAUACGUUCCCGGGC
rnacentral:rRNA from 1 species